GUGCUCACUUCGGCAACACAUAUACUAAAAUUAGAACGAUACAGAGAAGAUUAGCAUGGCCCCUGAGCAAGGAUGACAGACUAGUGUUAAACUCACUGUAAUC
ensembl:snRNA U6 U6 spliceosomal RNA